GAAUGUGAAAUUCUCACAGGUGGGCUGGCCGCGGGAGGCACAAUAACAAUGGAGGAGAAAAGCCUUUCAGCUUUACAAACAUGGGUUCCAAUCAAGCUUAAGUAAGUGACAGGUGAAAUGGGGCUAUUGAUUUCAAUCUAGUCCUGUUUGGCUACAGCAAAAACUCACCACAACAGUGUCUUAGUGCUUAAAGGGAUGCCGUCAGCUAAAAGAUAACGCUUCUGCCGGAGAACAUUUGCACUGCUAUUCAGAGCAAUUGAGAUUACUGGACCAGUUGAGAUGACUGGGGCUGAAAGACAUCAGAGAGGAAAUUUACCUCCCCCCAUUUUUGGGAAGAUAUGUUUACUUUGUGCUUUUUGACAGUGCUUCCUGCCGGACCCGUGCCCCAAAUCUCCUUUCCAGUUACGUGGUAGGGCAGACGUGAUGCAUCUGAGCAGGUCAGGCUGAGAAACACGUUUUCCUUGAAACUGGUCUGUCAAAGAAAAAGAUUCACAUGGAGUCAAAAAUCCCCUGAUGACCAGGUCAGGUCAUCAUCAUCCUCUUUACCUGGCCAAGCGGUAAGGUCUACCUGAUUUUCCUUUCUGCCCGUGCACCCCUCUGGCCAGCAGCCCACCUGGAAAUCCACUGAGGAGCUUUGCCUACCCAGGCCUGUGGCAACCUGCUGCGAGCCGUGGUGGUGGAGGAGGACAGCGUUGCCCUCCAGUCACGUUACAUGGGGCAGGUUCAUCUCUGGGGGAUUUACAAACGAGUGCUGAUGAAUCCACACCCGAGUCAGGAAGCCUGUGUGGGAGGAGAUGAUCUUUUUCUGCCUGGCUGUGCACGCAUGCAGCAUCAUUUAAAUCUCACGGACCUCCAUGACUGGAAGAUCUCAAGACCACAUAGAUGCAAAGCUCUACUCCUGCUGCAGAUAAGAAAAUAUCAGAGAAUAGUAAAAGAGCAUAACUUCUGCCAAGCAAGCUCUCUGUGCAAUUAUGGUUUUUAUUAAAUCACAUGGAAAAACAUCAAUUCAAAGUCUCUUCAUAGUGACCCAGCUUCAACGUUAUCUGAAGAUUAUGUUCAUCCCUUAUUUAGUGAGGCUGAGCGUUAGAUUAGGCAGGGAAUGGAGCGAAAGUCCCCCCAACCCUAGGAGAACUAGGAUGAGCAUAAAAAAUUUGCUGGUGGUACUGUCUCCAAUGCAGUAUGGAGUAGUAGUACGUAGCAUGAACCUUCUUACAGAUGUAAGAAGGUUGGAUUCCUAAUGCUGUUCUGAAAAUGAGCUUAAAACACAUGCAAUAAUAUGUUUUAUAGAUAUAUAUACCCCAGUGGUUUCCUUGGUGCUGUGGGAAGUCGAAUACCUAGUGAUGGAGAAGAUCCCCUUUGGUGCCUUAGACUGCUGAACACUCCUCCGAAACCACUGUUUACUCCGGUUUGAGGUGAGGAACAUCAUUUAGGAUUUUUUACUGACUUUCCUAGGUGCGACCCAGGCAAGACGAGUACAAGGAGAGCGCUGAUCUGCCUUCCAGUAGCAUCCUUCCUUUUGCUUGGAAGCUGAGGAGGAGCUGGCUUUUGUUCUGAACCCCGCUCAGCCCUUCACCCCGCGGUUGUGGCGGGGAGUCUGGCAGCUCGUCUGCCCGCUCCCAUUUCUUCCUGCAGGCACCACGUUAUAUAUCCCUCACGAGCCUGACCACAGCUUUCAGAAACAUCCAAUAAAUCAACAGUUAAAAGGGAAGAGUAGACA
rnacentral:lncRNA from 1 species